rnacentral:rRNA from 1 species
AACCUCCGCAAUGUGAGAAAUCGCGACGGGGGGAUCCCGAGUGCCAUUCUUAACGGGAUGGCUUUUCAUUAGUGUAAAGAGCUUUUGGAAUAAGGGCUGGGCAAGACCGGUGCCAGCCGCCGCGGUAACACCGGCAGCUCUAGUGGUAGCAGUUUUUAUUGGGCCUAAAGCGUCCGUAGCCGGUUUAAUAAGUCUCUGGUGAAAUCCUGUAGCUUAACUGUGGGAAUUGCUGGAGAUACUAUUAGACUUGAGACCGGGAGAGGUUAGAGGUACUCCCAGGGUAGAGGUGAAAUUCUGUAAUCCUGGGAGGACCGCCUGUUGCGAAGGCGUCUAACUGGAACGGUUCUGACGGUGAGGGACGAAAGUUAGGGGCGCGAACCGGAUUAGAUACCCGGGUAGUCCUAACUGUAAACGAUGCGGACUUGGUGUUGGGGUGGCUUUGAGCUGCUCCAGUGCCGAAGGGAAGCUGUUAAGUCCGCCGCCUGGGAAGUACGGUCGCAAGACUGAAACUUAAAGGAAUU